rnacentral:lncRNA from 1 species
CAACCGGCCUCUGUGUAUUCAGAAUUAGUGUUUCAGACUUGGCCUAAAUGUAGUCAUGAAAGGAGUUUUUUGUCUGAGAAACAUUAUUGCCAUGUUAAUUUAGUAGACAAAUUACAACAAAAUAGGACCGAUAAAAAUGUUACUAACAGUGAUAAAAGUGAAGCUGGAGCACAUGUCUGUGUCCUUGUGCAAAACAAAUUUAUAUUGUUAAGGCAGAGAAAUAACAUGCAUAUUAUACUUCCUCUCUUAACAUUAAACAUGUUAAUUAAGUCAGUAAGUCCUGCAUUAAGGAAACCUUUAUAAUACAGCUUUGUCCUAUUCUCUACUGUCCUUUUCACUUAACUGUUCUUGGUAGAUCCAGUGAAAGAAAACACACUUGGGGAAAAUUAUACUUAGCAAAUGUCUGCUUCUCUAGUAUUGCACAUGGUAUUCUCUCCUUUGGAAUUUCAUCUGUCGUCUUUGGCUUAUAUAAAGCCUAGUGCGCCUCUGGGGUCAGUUUUGUAGGUUUUCUAAACUUGGCUAACCAGUUGAUAUACUCUGCAGUGUUAACUGCUGCAUUCUGCUUCUCUCAUUCACUUACAGUUUGGAGGAUUUUUGUUUGUUUUUCUGCUCUUGAAAUCUUCUUGGCAGUUACUUAAGUAACAUGAAGUGGUUCUCCUCAACUUCUUUUUAUCUUUCCUCUAGUCAACCAUAUUCAACCAUUUUGCUUCAGAAAGUGAACAUUUAUUGAACAUCUGUUGAGUAACAGGUUCUUUUCUAGUUGCUCAAAGCAUAGGAGUAAAUAAAGUUCUGUCCAUAUGGGGUUUACAUAGUGGAAUGUAGGGAAACAGUAAACAAAACACAUAUAUGGCUGGUUAGGUAGUGAUAAGUGCUUUGGUGAAAAACUAAGAUUAAGGAGACUAGUUCAGGAAAAAGGUAUUUUAUUUAAUAUAGGGUAGUCAGAAAAGGCCUCACUGAAAAGAUGACAUUUAACUAGAGACUUGAAGAAUAUCUGGAAGGGUGAAUAGCUUUUCAGGAAGAGAGGCAGCUAAUGAAAAUGUGAUGUAAUGUGAAUGUUCUGAGUGUGUUUCUAGAACCCAGGCAGUUCAGUGUGACUGUCAAAGUGAGCUAGGGAGAAAGUGGUGUAGAGAUUGAUUGGAGAGAUGGGGACAGGGAAGUGGUGCAGGUGUUUAAUGUGCAGAGCUUAAUGCCCUAAAAUUUUUAUGGCCCACCCCUAGAGUUUCUGAUUUGCUAGUCCUAGGCUUGGGGGAGAAUGUUCAUUUCUAACAAGUUCCCAGGUAAGUAAGAACCACUGAACCAGGGUGGAAGCAAAGAGACUGUUAGGAUUUCAGUGUUAAUACCAGCUUGGGUUGGACUGGUAGCAGUGGCGGUAGUAAGAAAUUGUAGUCAAAAUGUAGUAAGAGGAUCCUCUAUGAUUCACCUCCCAGAAUUCUGGAAAUAAAAGCAAAAA